UUUUUUUUUUUUUUUUUUUUUUUGAGACAGAGUUUCACUCUUGUUGCCCAGGCUGGAGUGCAAUGGCGAUAUCUUGGCUCACUGCAACCUAUGCCUCCUCCUGCCUCAGCCUCCUGAGUAGCUGGGGUUACAGGCAUGCACCACCAUGCUCAGCUAACUUUGUAUUUUUAGUAGAGAUGGGGUUUCUUCAUGUUGGUCAGGCUGGUCUCAAACUCCCCGCCUCAGGUGAUCCACUGGCCUCAGUCUCCGAAAAUGGUGGGAUUGCAGGCAUGAGCCACUGCGCCUAGCCAAAAAAGUUGUUUUAUCUUGCAUGAUGAAGUCCCCUUUGCCUUAACCUUUAGAGGGAAAGUAGCUUUGAAAUGACCAAUCUGCUUUUUGUUCUGUUUCUGCUUUCCUCAGACCUUUUUCUUUUUUUUUUUUUGAGGCGGAGUCUCACUCUGUCACUCAGGCUGGAGUGCAGUGCCACAAUCUUGGCUCACUGCAGCCUCCACUUCCUGAUUCAAGUGAUUCUGCUGCUUCAGCUUUUCAAGUAGCUGGGAUUACAGAGACAUGCCACCACACCCAGCUAGUUUUUUCAUUUUUAGUAAAGAUGGGGUUUCAUCAUGUUGGCCAGGCUGAUCUCGAACUUCUGACUCAAGUGAUCCACCCUCCCUGGCCUCCCAAAGUGCUGGGGAUACAGGCAUGAGCCACCACACCCGGCCCCUUCAGCUUAUUUCUCUCUAUAAAACCAAACUCCUUUGCUCAGCUCAUUGGAGCAAAAAAGUUUGGUUUUAUAGAAUGAAUCACAAACACACACACAAAAACAAUUAAGAUCUUUAAAUUUGUUGUACUUUUCACUUUUUAAAGAAGUAACACGGCCGGGCGCGGUGGCUCAAGCCUGUAAUCCCAGCACUUUGGGAGGCUGAGGUGGGCGGAUCAUGAGGUCAAGAGAUUGAGACCAACCUGGUCAAUAUGGUGAAACCCCGUCUCUACUAAAAAUACAAAAAAUUAGCUGGGCGUGGUGGCGUGUGCCUGUAAUCCCAGCUACUCAGGAGGCUGAGGCAGGAGAAUUGCCUGAACCCAGGAGGCGGAGGUUGCAGUGAGCCGAGAUCGCGCCAUUGCAAUCCAGCCUGGGUAACAAGAGCGAAACUUCGUCUCAAAAAAAAAAAAAAAAAAAAAAAAGAUAUUAAAACAAAAAGCUUUAAUUUUUACUCAGAGGAGUUUACAUAGAGUAUAAAGGAGAAAAGAAACUAACUUUGAACAAUUAUUCAUUUAUCUAACAAACAUUUAUUAAGUGCUUUCUGUGUUCCAGGCACUGUGCUGUGCCCUAUGAAUUCAAGGAUAUAAUGUUUUGACAUUAAAUGUCGAAGUAUUGUUUAAAUACAGGCAUACCUCAUUUUAUUUUGUGUCACUCCUUCAGUAAAAAUUAAUGUGUGUUCUGACUGCUCCUUUGGCCACUUCUCUGUCGCCCUCUCCUCAAGCCUCCUUAUUUCCUACAAUACAGUGAUAUUGAAAUUAGGCCAGUGGUCUCUAAGUGUUCAAAUGAAAGGAAGAAUCAUACAUCUCUUACUUUAAAGCAAAAGCUAGAAAUAAUUAAGCUUAAUGAGGAAGGGGGCAUGUCAAAAGCUGAGACAGGCUGAAAGCUAAGCCUCUUGCAUCAGUUAGCCAAGUUAUGAAUACAAAGGUAAAGUUCUUGAAGAAAAUUAGACGUGAUACUCCAGGCUGAGCAUAGUGGCUCACGCCUGUAAUUCUAGCACUUUGGGAAGCCAAGGAGGGUGGAUCACGAAGUCAGGAGUUCAAGACCAGCCUCGCCAACAUGAUGAAACCCCAUCUCUACUAAAAAUACCAAAAAAAAAAAAAAAAAAAAAUGGGCAUAUUGGCAAGCACCUGUAAUUCCUGCUACUUGGUAGGUUGAGACAGGAGAAUUGCAUGAACCUGGGAGGCAGAGGUUGCAUUGACCUGAGAUCGUGCCACUGCACUCCAGUCACAACAAGACUGAAACUCCAUCUCAAAAGAAAAAAGAAGGGUUAUCCAGUAAACAUACGAAUGAUUUAAAAAAAAAAAAAGCAAAACAGCUUUAUUGUUGAUAUGGGGAAAGUUUGAGUGGGCUGGAUAGAAGAACAAACCAGUUACAACAUUCCCUUAAGCCAAAGCCUAAUCCAGAGGAAGGCCCUAACUCUCUUCAAUUCUAUAAAGGCUAAGAGAGAUUGGAAAGCUGCAGAGGAAAAGUUUGAAGCUAGGCACAGUUUGGUUCAUGAGGCUUAAGGAAGGAAGCUGUCUCCAUCAUGUGAAAGUGCAAGGUUAAGCAGCAAGUGCUGAUGGGAAGCUGUAGCAAGUUAUCCAGAAGAUUUAACAUAAUCAAUGAAGAUGAACCCACUAAACAGAUUUUCACUGUAGAUGAAACAGUCUUAUAUGGGAAGCAGAUAACAUCAGGACUUUCAUUGCUAGAAAUGAGAAGUUACUGCCUGACUUCAAAGCUUCCAAGGGCAUGCUGACUCUCUUGUUAGGGGCUAAUGCAGCUGGUCAUUUUAAGUUGAAGCCAAUGUUUAAUUACCAUUCUGAAAAUCCUAGGGCUGUGAAGAAUUAUGUUAAAUGUAUUCUGCCUGUGCUCUAUAAAUUGAGCUGCAAAGAUUGAAUGACAGCACAUCUGUUUAUAGCAUGGCUUACUGAAUAUUUUAAGCCCACUGUUGAAAUCUGUUGCUCAGGAAAAAAAUUUUCUUUCCAAAUGUUACUGCUCCUUAACAAUUCACCUGGUUACCCAACAGCUCUAAUGGAGAUGUACAAGGAGAUGAAUGUUGUUUUCAUGCCUGCUAACACAAUACUUAUUCUACAGCUCAUGGAUCAAGGAGUAAUUUAGAUUUUCAAGUCUUAGUAUUUAAGAAAUACAUCUUAAAUACUAUAAACAGUGAUUCCUCUGAUGGAUCUGUGCAAAGUACAUUAAAAACCUUCCGGAAAGGAUCCACAAUCUAGGUGCCUUUAGCAACAUUUGUGAUUCAUGGGAGGAGGUCAAAAUAUCAAUAUUAGCAGGAAUUUGGAAGAAGUUGAUUCCAAACCUUUAUGGAAAAUUUUGAAGGGAUUAAGUCUUUAGUGAAGCAAGUAACUGCAAAGAUGGUGGAAACAGCAAGAGAACUAGAAUUAGAAGUGGAGCCUGAAGAUGUGAAUGAAUUGCUGCAACCUCAUGAUCAAACUUGAAUGGGUGAGUAGUUUCUUAAAGAUGAGCAAAGAGUGGUUUUUGGAGGAUUCUAUUUCAAUAAACUACAGCCUCUGGUGAAGAUGCUGUGAACAUUGUUGAAAUGACAAUAAAGGAUUUCGAUUGUUACAUAUACAAAUAAAUAAACAGAAAAAAUGGAAUAUUACAUAAACUCAGUUGAAAAAGCAGUGGUAGAGUUUGAAAGGAUUGACUCCAAUUUUGAAAGAAAUUCCCUGGUAUGUAAAAUGCUAUCAAACAGCAUGGCAUAAAGGACAGAUAUUUCAUGAAUGAAAAAGAAUCAAUGUAGCUGACUUCAUUGUUGCCCUAUCUUAAGAAAUUGUCACACCCCAACCUUCAGUAACCACCAUUCUGAUCAGUCAGCAGCCAUGAACCUCAAGACAAGACCCUACCAGCAAAAAAGAUUAUGACUCACUGAAGGGUCAGGUAAUUGUUAGCAUUUCUUAGCAAUAAACUAUUUUUUAAUGAAGGUACUUUUUUAUACAUAUGCUAUUGUACACUUAAUAAGCCACAGUAUAGUAUAAACAUAACUUUAAUAUGUGCUGGGAAACAAAAAAUGUGUGUAGCUCACUUUAUUGUGAUAUUCACUUUAUUGCAAUAUUCACUUUAAUGCAGUGGUCUGGAACCAAACCUGCAGUGUCUUCAUCGUAUGCCUAUAUAGGUAUGUCUAGAUUUAACUUAUGAAACACCAGGUUUUAAAAAUUGUGUUAUUGUUUGGGCAUGGUGGCUCAUACCUGUAAUUCCAGCACUUUAGGAAGCUGAGGUGGGCGGAUCACCUGAGGUCAGGAAUUUGAGACCAGCCUGACCAACAUGGUGAAACCCCAUCUCUUCUAAAAAUACAAAAUUAGCCGGGCAUGGUGGCAGGUGCCUGUAAUCCCAGCUACUUGGGAGACUGAGGUGGGAUUACACCUGUAAUCCCAGCACUUUGGGAGAAUUGCUUGAACCUGGGAGGCGGAGAUUACAGUGAACUGAGAUCACACCAUUGCACUCCAGUCUGGGCAACAAGAGCAAAACUCCAUCUAAAAAAAAAAAAUUGUGGGCCCUGACAGAGUCUCCUGUCAAGGAUCACAGGGACGCUAAGAUUGCUAUGUGGACCUUCGCUGACCAUGCCAUCCUGGGUGGUACUUUCUGCUGCUGCCACAGUGGCCCACUCUCUGAAGAAUGCAGCCUUCCUAGGUCCAGGGGUAUUGCAAUCAACAAGGACCUUUCACAUAGGGCAGCCACACCUUGCCCCCGUCCUGAAUAUGGAGGAAAAGUUAAUCAUGGACUGAUUCCUGAGGAAUUCUUCCAAUAUCUUUAACCUAAAACUGGUGUAACAGGACCCUAUGUGCUUGGAACUGGCUUAUCUUGAAUGCUUUAUCCAAAGAAAUAUAUGUGAUUACCAAAGAGACCUUCACUACCCUAUCAGUAGUAGGUUUAUUUAUCUAUGGAGUUAAAAAAAAUAAGGUCAUUCCAUUGCAGAAUUUGCUGAUAAACUCAAUGAGCAAAAACUUGCCCAACUAGAAAAGGUGAAGCAGGCUUUCAUCAAAGAAAUCUAGGAUGCAGUUGAUUGUAGAAGGCACAGCAUGCACUGGUUCAGAAGCACCAUUACCUUUUUGAUGUGCAGAGGCAUAACACUGCCAUAGCUUUGGAGGUUGCUUACUGGGAACGACUGCAUAGAGUAUAUAAAAAAGUAAAGAAUUGCUUGGACUAUCAUAUAUCUGUGCAGAACAUGAUGCGUUGAAAGAAACAAGAGCACAUGAUAAAUUGGGUGGAGAAGCAUGUGGUGCAGAGCAUCUCUGCACAGCAGGAAAAGGAGACAAUUGCCAAGUGCAUUGCUAACCUAAAGGCUGGCAAAGAAGGCUCAAGCACAGCCAGUUAUGUAAAUGUACCUAUUCCAAUUGAGACAGCUAGAAGCAGUUGACUGACUAAAUGGAAAUUCGUCUAUUUGACAAAAUUUUUCUGUAUUGGUGUCUACUGAAGUUAUGGUUUACCUCUCCUAAAAGUGAAAAGUUUGUUUUAAAUAGUGAGAGAACAAAAUCUCUAUUGCUCAGUCAGAUAGUUCUCAUCUUUCUUACUCUGCAUUUGAGUUGUUCCAUGAUCGCUUCUGUAUAAGCAGUUUGCCUUUAUAAAAACUUGCUGCCUGACUAAAGAUUACCAGGCUAUAGUUUAAAUUUGUAAUUAAUUCUACCAUCUUGCAAUAAAGUGACAACUGAAUG